UACGUAGGGUGCAAGCGUUGUCCGGAAUUAUUGGGCGUAAAGAGCUCGUAGGCGGUUUGUCGCGUCGAAUGUGAAAACCCGGGGCUCAACCCCGGGCCUGCAUUCGAUACGGGCAGACUAGAGUUCGGUAGGGGAGUCUGGAAUUCCUGGUGUAGAGGUGAAAUUCGUAGAUAUCGGGAGGAACACCAGUGGCGAAGGCGGCGAUCUGGGAAGAUACUGACGCUGAGGUGCGAAAGCGUGGGGAGCAAACAGG
rnacentral:rRNA from 1 species